UUUGGCCAGAAGAAUCCUCACAAAGUUAUAUCUUUUGGACUGACAAGUGACCAAAGAUCUACUUUUGAUACAUUCACAGGACCAAAUUCCUGCACAGUAUCCCCAAGACACUGUCUUUCUAUAAAGACAUUUAUUCGUUGCCUUGGAGUCAGAAACAAUGAAUUCUCGUUUUGCAAUGAAUCACUGACCUUUCUUGUUGUUCCAAGUUGUUGAUUGUCGGUGCUUCAGUGCUUUCUUGUGAUGCCUGGAUUUCCUCUGUUUCACUCUCAUACAACAAUUCUUGCUCAACUGGCUCUUCAAGUGCAUUUUGGAACGUAAAUUCUGAUUUUGACUGAACUUCCAACUACAUGAUUCUGGUGUUGUGAUGAUAAAGGUAGUUUCACGUAGCACUUUGAUGAGGUGUUCAUAUUGUUUGGAGUCUUAGAAAUGUCUGCUCAUAGUUUAUGUAAAACGGUUUUUUCGCUUUUUUCAAGCUGUUCGCUGUUGGAUAAAGAGUCUUGUCGAGAUAGUAGUCCUCAAAAACUUUUAUUUCACAGAUUGUUGCUGGGCAACCAAAUUUUUGACUGUUCUGCAAGUUUUGAUAUGUUUUGGUGGCGUAAUUGUGCUCAGAAGAUUUUUUUGUUUAUUUGCUCCUCCUCGCGAGUCCUAAAAGUGGUCAUUUUGCUUAGCCUGUUGAUUAAAAAUGUUAUAACUGUUUAAUCUAUCUCGUUGUAAUACAGCGUUUGAAAUCUGACCUUUUCUGAUCCAUGUAUGCAUUGCCUAGUUUAUGUGCUUUCUGUUGUAAAUGGAAAAUCGCAAUUGGUACAUUGCCGUUAUUAUCUUCGAAAACGGGUGAAGCUAUAAAAACACGUAGAGAUGAUGCUUAGGUCCGUUAGUACUUUUGUAAUAAUUAGCGCAAAUUAAAAUUUGUAAAGUAAA